GACGAACGCUGGCGGCGUGCCUAAUACAUGCAAGUAGAACGCUGAAGCUUGGUGCUUGCACCGAGCGGAUGAGUUGCGCACGGGUGAGUAACGCGUAGGUAACCUGCCUGGUAGCGGGGGAUAACUAUUGGAAACGAUAGCUAAUACCGCAUAAGAGUAGAUGUUGCAUGACAUUUGCUUAAAAGGUGCAAUUGCAUCACUACCAGAUGGACCUGCGUUGUAUUAGCUAGUUGGUGAGGUAACGGCUCACCAAGGCAACGAUACAUAGCCGACCUGAGAGGGUGAUCGGCCACACUGGGACUGAGACACGGCCCAGAGUCCUACGGGAGGCAGCAGUAGGGAAUCGUCGGCAAUGGACGGAAGUCUGACCGAGCAACGCCGCGUGAGUGUAGAAGGUUGUCGGAUCGUAAAGCUCUGUUGUAAGAGAAGAACGAGUGUGAGAGUGGAAAGUUCACACUGUGACGGUAUCUUACCAGAAGGGGACGGCUAACUACGUG
rnacentral:rRNA from 1 species